rnacentral:lncRNA from 13 species
AUUUUUUUUUUAAAGUCUACAUAUUAAUCUCCCAACACCACAUCAACAUGUAAGAAUGGUGUCUUUCUAUGUGUCGUAGCAGAGGAAGAUGUUUGUAGGCAAUGCCUACUCGCUAUUGGUCAAUCACUCAAUGCACACCGAUGUCAUUGGAAACACGGUUGUUAUUAUUUGUUACUACGAACAUGCACCAUUUUCACAUGCUUGGUACUGGAUAAGUGUACUUUUUUAAAAAGGUGGUAGACCCUUAGAAUGUUUAAUUCUACUGGGGCCCUCGUGUUUAAGUGGUUUUACCAACUAGACUGCAGACGCUGAUGUUUAAUGUUACUCUAUUGUCUUUAGAUGAAGAAUCUGAGGAGGAGGCCCCACCCCCAAAGAAGGCUGAAGGUCACGGCUGCCAAGGAGGAGUCUGACGACGAUGAUGAUGAGGACUCUGAGGAAGAGGAGAUGGAUACCACCCCGGCACCCGCAGCAAAGAAAGCAGGCAUGGUCAAGGCUAAGGAGGAGUCUGACGAUGAUGGUAAGUGAUAUUUUGAUUAAGGUUUAUUACCCAUGUGGUGAAAGGGGUGUCUUGGUCUCCGGCAGUCAUCACAGCUGGGUAUUAUUGCCCCAUAUGCCACGUUCACAUGUUGGUCAGUACUCUGAAAUGUCCAACUUGCUAAUAUGUUGUAGGUAAACAUGUCACAUUCAACCAGUUAUCAAGUUGGACAUUUCAGUUUCCUAGUUGUGACUGGCAGGUGAACACGACAUUAGCCCCACCCUCCACCUUUUGGUGUUGGCACAUCUACGGGAGAACGGGCUUGGACUGAAAUGCAUCCGGGCUGUAGAUUCUUCCUGACACUGCGAGGAUUUCAAAGAUGGUCAGCUACAGAGCUGGUCUAUACAAAAGCUCCCCUCUCACCUCUGUUAUUUGAAGGUUUUGGGGUCCUAAGCAGGCUGUUUUGUUCCACAGAGGCCCCAGCGACUCCUGCAAAAGAGGAAGGCCGACAGCAAGAAAGCCAAGUCCGGAAGCGAUGGUAAGUUAUGGUUCAGCCCUUUCAACACCUGCUCCAACACUGAACCAUAGUACGCAUGAUGAACAACAAGGGACUUAAUACUGAUUCAUUUGAUGUCACCUUCAUGUUAUUCUGACGGUGUUCGUAGGUUGCCGUUGAUGACGAUCAUUUAAAGCGUAACCUAAUUGAUCGUUUUCCCCCUCAGAUGCGUUCUAUUCGUCGGCAACCUGACCUCAAACAAGGACUUUGAUAAAAUCAGAGGUUUUGGCAGCUUUCUUCUCAAAGAAGAACCUUGAAGUUCAGGAUGUCAGACUUGGCGCAUCAAAGUAAGUGGCGGUGGAUUCCUAUGUUAUGAUGCUCCACUCGGGACUUCUGAUCGUUCCUACUUUUUAAUUGGCCAGACCAAACUGGUGUUCUUGAUGGGAGAGGGUAGUUGAUUUGACUUUAUUGACCAGGAUUCCCUCCAUUUCUUGGCACACCUGUAGUUGCGCAGUACUCACGUGUGAUUGUACGGAGGUAGAACAAAGCCAGUGCUAUGUCUUCGGUACCAGUGUGUGUUAUCGUCUGCUGGUCCUAUCCUCAAUCGCUGGCACACUUGAAGUCAAUGAAGCUUAAUUGAUUUGUGUUUUAUAUGGAGUCUUCUAAUGCACGCUUAUCUUGCGCACCAGGAAGUUUGGCUACGUUGAAUUUGCCUCAGCGGAGGACAUGCAAGACGGCCUUGGAGCUGAACGGCAAGAAGUUCAUGGGACAGGGGUUGAAGAUGGGUAAGGCCCGCAGCAAAGGAAACUCCCAGGGGGACAAAGGUACAUUUAUAUUACUGUUGCUAUUUUUAGUGCAUUGACUAAAUCUUGCUGUUUGAAACUAAGGUUUUCACAAAUGUGAUAAUUGAAUAAACUGACGUGGUGAUUUAAAGUCUUGACUUUUCCUUUCAUAAUUAUCUGGAGCUUCCAAAGAUUGUGUACAUUACUUUUUUCCUGUGAUGUAACUUUUUGAAGUGGUUAAAUAACUUAGUGUGACAUGAGUAAGUUGCCUAAUGACGACAAGCCAUUAGCUGACGCUAGCUAAUUAUUUUUGGUAUUUAGAGAGAACCCGUUGAGCCCAGGGUCUCGUGCCGUGAUCACAGUAAUCCAAUGUUUAAAAAAAAUACAACACAAUUUAAGGAGAACUCGGGUCCUUAAUCCACUUGAAAUUGAUCAUCCACUUUAUGUAACUUGCUCCAGCAGUGAGGUGUGUUAAAUAAAGCCUGAUUUUAGUGGCUUCAGAAACUAUUCAUACCCCUUGCUUUAUUCGUGUUGCGUUAAAGCCUGACAUCAAAUAAGAUUACAUUGAUCUUUUUUACUCCCAUCUACAAAGGAUACCCCGUAACAACAGAAGUCAGUUUUUUUUUUGCACAUUUAUUGAAAUUAAAAUGAAUUGCUUGUAUGAAUACUGCAUUUUACACCCUUGAGUCAAUGCAUGUUAGAAUCACCGUUGGCAGUGAGUACAGCUGUCUUUCAGGGUGAGUUUGAGCUUUGCGCACAUGUUUUUUUUACAAUAUUUGCAGUUUAAGAACAAUGUCUUAUUUACAAUGAUGGCCUACCCUGGCCAAACUCUUCACCACACCGGGCCAACCUAUGGGACUCCCAAUCAUGACCGGUUGUGAUAGAGACCCGAAUCCGGGUCUGUAGGGACGCCUCGAGCACUGAGAUUCAGUGCCUUAGACCGCUGUCCAUUUCUAUGCACACAUUUUCAGGUUUUAGCAUAGAUAUUCAAGCUGAUUUAAAUAAAUGAACUGAGCCACUCAGGACCUUCCACUGUCUUGGAAAGCAACUCUAGUGUAGUUUUAAGUUAUUGCCCUGCUGAAAGGUGAAUUCAUCACCAGUGUCUGGUGUAAACCAGAUUUUCCGCUUGGAUUUAGCUUGUUUUAACUAUUCCAUUUCUUGAUUUAUCUGUAAACGCUACCCAGUCCUUAAUGAUUACAAGAAUACCUGUCACAUGAUGCAGCCACCUCUCUGCUUGAAUUGGAGUGUGGUACUAAGUAAUGUGUUCUAUUAGAUUUGCCCCAAACUUAAUGUAUUCAGGGCAAGAAACCUCCCUAGUCUUUGGUUAAAUCUGUAUUUCAAAUUCACUGCUCAACUGAGGGACCUUUUAAAGAGAAUAGAUUUUAUGUGUGGGGUAGAGAGAUCAGGAAGUCUCACACAAUUUUUUGAACACUUAUUCACUUAUUGCACACAGUGAGUCCACACCGAGCAGUUUGUCGUGGCCUUCGCUGAAUUUGUACUUUGGCUCAAAUGUGCAAAUAAGCCAUAAAUGUUAACAUCUAUAUGUGCUCAUUUGCUGAGAAUAUAUUUUCCCCAAAUAAAUGCAU